rnacentral:rRNA from 1 species
GACUAAGCGUACACGGUGGAUGCCCUGGCAGUCAGAGGCGAUGAAGGACGUGCUAAUCUGCGAUAAGCGUCGGUAAGGUGAUAUGAACCGUUAUAACCGGCGAUUUCCGAAUGGGGAAACCCAGUGUGUUUCGACACACUAUCAUUAACUGAAUCCAUAGGUUAAUGAGGCGAACCGGGGGAACUGAAACAUCUAAGUACCCCGAGGAAAAGAAAUCAACCGAGAUUCCCCCAGUAGCGGCGAGCGAACGGGGAGCAGCCCAGAGCCUGAAUCAGUGUGUGUGUUAGUGGAAGCGUCUGGAAAGGCGCGCGAUACAGGGUGACAGCCCCGUACACAAAAAUGCACAUGCUGUGAGCUCGAUGAGUAGGGCGGGACACGUGGUAUCCUGUCUGAAUAUGGGGGGACCAUCCUCCAAGGCUAAAUACUCCUGACUGACCGAUAGUGAACCAGUACCGUGAGGGAAAGGCGAAAAGAACCCCGGCGAGGGGAGUGAAAAAGAACCUGAAACCGUGUACGUACAAGCAGUGGGAGCACGCUUAGGCGUGUGACUGCGUACCUUUUGUAUAAUGGGUCAGCGACUUAUAUUCUGUAGCAAGGUUAACCGAAUAGGGGAGCCGAAGGGAAACCGAGUCUUAACUGGGCGUUAAGUUGCAGGGUAUAGACCCGAAACCCGGUGAUCUAGCCAUGGGCAGGUUGAAGGUUGGGUAACACUAACUGGAGGACCGAACCGACUAAUCUUGAAAAAUUAGCGGAUGACUUGUGGCUGGGGGUGAAAGGCCAAUCAAACCGGGAGAUAGCUGGUUCUCCCCGAAAGCUAUUUAGGUAGCGCCUCGUGAAUUCAUCUCCGGGGGUAGAGCACUGUUUCGGCAAGGGGGUCAUCCCGACUUACCAACCCGAUGCAAACUGCGAAUACCGGAGAAUGUUAUCACGGGAGACACACGGCGGGUGCUAACGUCCGUCGUGAAGAGGGAAACAACCCAGACCGCCAGCUAAGGUCCCAAAGUCAUGGUUAAGUGGGAAACGAUGUGGGAAGGCCCAGACAGCCAGGAUGUUGGCUUAGAAGCAGCCAUCAUUUAAAGAAAGCGUAAUAGCUCACUGGUCGAGUCGGCCUGCGCGGAAGAUGUAACGGGGCUAAACCAUGCACCGAAGCUGCGGCAGCGACGCUUAUGCGUUGUUGGGUAGGGGAGCGUUCUGUAAGCCUGCGAAGGUGUGCUGUGAGGCAUGCUGGAGGUAUCAGAAGUGCGAAUGCUGACAUAAGUAACGAUAAAGCGGGUGAAAAGCCCGCUCGCCGGAAGACCAAGGGUUCCUGUCCAACGUUAAUCGGGGCAGGGUGAGUCGACCCCUAAGGCGAGGCCGAAAGGCGUAGUCGAUGGGAAACAGGUUAAUAUUCCUGUACUUGGUGUUACUGCGAAGGGGGGACGGAGAAGGCUAUGUUGGCCGGGCGACGGUUGUCCCGGUUUAAGCGUGUAGGCUGGUUUUCCAGGCAAAUCCGGAAAAUCAAGGCUGAGGCGUGAUGACGAGGCACUACGGUGCUGAAGCGACAAAUGCCCUGCUUCCAGGAAAAGCCUCUAAGCAUCAGGUAACAUCAAAUCGUACCCCAAACCGACACAGGUGGUCAGGUAGAGAAUACCAAGGCGCUUGAGAGAACUCGGGUGAAGGAACUAGGCAAAAUGGUGCCGUAACUUCGGGAGAAGGCACGCUGAUAUGUAGGUGAAGCGACUUGCUCGUGGAGCUGAAAUCAGUCGAAGAUACCAGCUGGCUGCAACUGUUUAUUAAAAACACAGCACUGUGCAAACACGAAAGUGGACGUAUACGGUGUGACGCCUGCCCGGUGCCGGAAGGUUAAUUGAUGGGGUCAGCGCAAGCGAAGCUCUUGAUCGAAGCCCCGGUAAACGGCGGCCGUAACUAUAACGGUCCUAAGGUAGCGAAAUUCCUUGUCGGGUAAGUUCCGACCUGCACGAAUGGCGUAAUGAUGGCCAGGCUGUCUCCACCCGAGACUCAGUGAAAUUGAACUCGCUGUGAAGAUGCAGUGUACCCGCGGCAAGACGGAAAGACCCCGUGAACCUUUACUAUAGCUUGACACUGAACAUUGAGCCUUGAUGUGUAGGAUAGGUGGGAGGCUUUGAAGUGUGGACGCCAGUCUGCAUGGAGCCGACCUUGAAAUACCACCCUUUAAUGUUUGAUGUUCUAACGUUGACCCGUAAUCCGGGUUGCGGACAGUGUCUGGUGGGUAGUUUGACUGGGGCGGUCUCCUCCUAAAGAGUAACGGAGGAGCACGAAGGUUGGCUAAUCCUGGUCGGACAUCAGGAGGUUAGUGCAAUGGCAUAAGCCAGCUUGACUGCGAGCGUGACGGCGCGAGCAGGUGCGAAAGCAGGUCAUAGUGAUCCGGUGGUUCUGAAUGGAAGGGCCAUCGCUCAACGGAUAAAAGGUACUCCGGGGAUAACAGGCUGAUACCGCCCAAGAGUUCAUAUCGACGGCGGUGUUUGGCACCUCGAUGUCGGCUCAUCACAUCCUGGGGCUGAAGUCGGUCCCAAGGGUAUGGCUGUUCGCCAUUUAAAGUGGUACGCGAGCUGGGUUUAGAACGUCGUGAGACAGUUCGGUCCCUAUCUGCCGUGGGCGCUGGAGAACUGAGGGGGGCUGCUCCUAGUACGAGAGGACCGGAGUGGACGCAUCACUGGUGUUCGGGUUGUCAUGCCAAUGGCACUGCCCGGUAGCUAAAUGCGGAAGAGAUAAGUGCUGAAAGCAUCUAAGCACGAAACUUGCCCCGAGAUGAGUUCUCCCUGACUCCUUGAGAGUCCUGAAGGAACGUUGAAGACGACGACGUUGAUAGGCCGGGUGUGUAAGCGCAGCGAUGCGUUGAGCUAACCGGUACUAAUGAACCGUGAGAUCGGAAGAG